GGCGAAUGUAUUAGGGGAAAAUGACCCGUUUGUUAUUUUCUAAAAAACCUUGGUAGUGUGUCAUAUUAAGAGAGGUGCAUUUCAAAGAGAUUUACCGCUACUCGGACACGAGGCCAAACACCGAUUACGACCAAGUAUUUCAAUAUAUGUGGCAUUUUGACCCUCCGAACUGACCGAAUGAGAGACUCAACAGCAUUAGAGCAUUUGCCGGUCCACCAGCGGAAAGCAAAUUCCCAUCGGCAGCACAAGACGCCAGUGUCCCUGACCAGCGUCGAACCUGCCGAGGAUGGACAUGGAGGGAACAUGGACACCAACCUCGGCGACAAGUUUAAAGAGGGACAAGAGGUCCUAGCCCGAUGGUCAGAUGGCCUGUUUUAUUUGGGGAUUAUCACUAAGAUAAAUAAGGGGAAGCAGCGCUGUUUUGUUGUCUUUGAAGAUCGUUCGAAGUCCUGGGUUCUGUGGAAGGACAUUCAGACAGG